CCUGAUGAUUUUUAACAGCUAUCAACAGGGUGGGUGACUUAUCAAAUAGUAUUCACAGGCAUAGAAGUACAGGAAUGCAGAUUCAUGGGAUGACAAAAUUCAGGGGGCAGAGGUGUGGACAGAAAGCUUACCCCUGAAGGCUGAGUAAGGGGCACAUUUGGUGCAGAGAGGGGUCUUGACUGAGAGAGCAGCUGCUGUCAUGGCAGCUGUGGAACCAUGUAUGGAGCAACAGUAAGCAGACUAGAGGGACAGAGAAGCCAUAUGGUGAACGAUUUUGAAAUCUAGGCAGAGUGAGACCUGAACAUUUUUCAAUAUGAGAGUUAAAGAGAUUCUAUCUGUAGCUCAUCUUCUUAUAUGAGUUUGCUCACAUGGCCAGCUCGGCUGAUUUUAUGCCUAGAGACUAGGCAUUUGGCAGGUCAUAGAAAGCAGUGGGCAGGGAAUAUUAUCACUGGGGUAUCAUUAUUUUGUAAUAUGCUUGUAAAUCUUCAGAAACAUGUAAAAGUAACACAAGUAUUUCCAGGACACCAGCAAAUAGAAACUGUCAUGAAAUAACAAGAAUUGUGAGGCUGAGUUAAAUAGGACGGUGAAAAUGGAAAUAGUCUUGUACUCUUAAUGCUAAGGUCAGAGGUCAUCUGGUGCAACUCCGCCCACUUAUUUCUCUUCAGUCUACUUGCUGGGCAGUUUACCUCUGGGACAACCAUAAAACUUACAGAGUCAACUGCUCAGGCAAAUGUAGCUUCUUGUGCUUGCUAGGUCUGCAGAAGAGCAAAGUGGACAGCAGUUCCUGUGUCCCAUUGUUUCCAACUCCAUGCUGUGGCUAAGGGCCUGGCCUUCCUGUCCACUCUCACAGACUUCACAUUUCUGUCUCAUCUCUCUGCUUUAAGAUCAAGAAUAACGUUUUUGAAUGAGUUAAAAUUCAUACCUAUAAGUAAAUAGUUCAUUUGGGAAAGCCAGAAAAGUCACACCAACUGGGCUUAGGGACACAGGUCUGUAAUCAUAGCAACUUGGAAACUGAGGCAGCAAGUCACAAAGUCAAGGUCUUCCUAGGCUCUGGAAAGAGUUCAAGGCCAGUCUGGGCAACUUGGUGAGACUGUAUCUCAAAAUAAAAAAAAAACAAAUAAGAGCGCUGGGGCUACAUCUUCGUAGUAGAGUGAUAAGGCAUGUGUGUGGCCAGGGUUCUGAACCUAUAUCAUAAAAUAAGUGCUUUAUAAGUUGAUGUUUGGGGGUUCUGGAUUACAGCUAAUGUGCUUGGAAAACUGUAGGCUAGGAAGGGCAUGGUCUGAUGAGGGUGAAACUCUAUAGUGACUCUUGUUAAGGUGAUGUUCCACUUUCACCUCUGUUUCAGGCUUGAUUUGUUCUAGAACUGAUCACAUACUCAUUUUUUCUCUAAGAUACUCUUCAUCAACUGCAUAUUACAAAGGCUUGCAGUAUCUUGAGUUUCAGGUUUUGUCUAAGUGUCUAUGGUUGUCUUUCCCAUAGAUUUGUUUCUGCUAUAGUUUCUCUCCCUGAGCCUGACAGGAGGGUUGACAGAUGUCAUUUGACAUUCAUUGUAGUCCAGAUGCUAAGAUGGUUUUUCUUCAUAUGGAAUUAUCAAGUUAUUGUAAGAAGCAAUCUUGGAGGUGAAUACUAUUGGCAAGAUUUUCUUUAGUUUUUUUAACUGCUAUUGUUGAGAGUUUGUGAUUUAGCUAUGAAUGUCUUUUUAGUCCUGCAAUUUACUUACCCAAAGAUAAUAGUCAGGGACUGAUUCCGCUGGCUUCUGAAACACUGCCUGGAAAUGGCUGUUGGAAAUGGCUCACAUGAAAUUUAAAAAAUGAAUGUGCAUCAAGGAAGGGACAGUGUUGUUGGACCUUCAGUUCUUUCUAAUAGGGUGAGCAGGAGAGAGUAGACUCCCACCAGCGUGGCACUAAAGUCGAGACUUGUGUAUUUUCUUUUGCACAAAGAAGCAAGACAGGUUGCACACAGGGUCUAGAUCUUUAAAUCUCAGUGAGCCACCAGACAGGCUAGUUGCUUGUUGUCACUUCAGUCUGUUUAAAUCUUUUCACUGUUAGUUGCAUCCAGGAUCCCUUUUAAUUGUUGCAAUACACAAAAGCAACAUUAAUUGUAAGUUGAUAAGGCCAUAUUAUCCAAGGCCAUAUGCACACAGUUUCUCAUUUCAGAUCACUGUUUCCUUAUUAUCUCAAAUCCCCAGGUUGACUGUGACACUGUUUCCCUGUGGGCUCCUAUGGAAGAGAGUUUUUAAGUUAUUUCCUAGGACAGAUAUAGUUGGGUUGAACUUUUACAAGCUCUGACUUAUUGAUGUCUAUAAUACAGCAGAUGCUAGCAGUCUUCAUGAUUUGCAGGGACUUAAAAACAGAUAAAACUACAGAAAGAGAAACAUGUUCCCUUUAAAAUUAAAUGUAUAAAGAAAAAGUGACAAGGAUUUCUGUCUAAAUAAAAUUCAAUUGUGUCUGAGUUUAAAAUGGCAUCCCAAUGCAGCUAGCUUAUUCUUCUUUUCUGGAAUUUUAAACCAAACCAUGUUAAUCUAUAGUUUUAAGAAAAAUAAUUCUAUACUAGUCUAGCCUGCUAUUCUCCUUCUCCCUCACCAAUGACAUUAGAAAGUGUAAGCCCCUUUUCAAGAUAAAUUAUUUCAUCUCAGAAUAAAUAAUAACUACACACAUAUGCUAUGUCACUAACAUAAGGCUCUAAUAGUAAGUACAAGAAAGACUAUCAUCUUUAAGCAUCAAAAAGGGCUUCUUAAUCCUAACAUCAGCUAAAUACAUUAUUGUCUAUAUUUUACAUGGAAAAAAGUAUAAUCUACAGUUUUGGGGUUCUUACUGAUUUUUCUGCCCUUUGCAGAGUCAGAAUAGUGAUUUUUGGAUCUGAGCUUCCUAAGAGAUUAGAAGUUGGUCCUUAAAACAUGGUAUUAGCAGAGGUUACAACAAUAAGGUCAUAGCCAAAAUAAAGAUGUCCUAAAUU
rnacentral:lncRNA from 1 species